rnacentral:rRNA from 1 species
CCUACGGGUGGCAGCAGUCGAGAAUCAUUCACAAUGGGGGAAACCCUGAUGGUGCGACGCCGCGUGGGGGAAUGAAGGUCUUCGGAUUGUAAACCCCUGUCAUGUGGGAGCAAAUUAAAAAGAUAGUACCACAAGAGGAAGAGACGGCUAACUCUGUGCCAGCAGCCGCGGUAAUACAGAGGUCUCAAGCGUUGUUCGGAAUCACUGGGCGUAAGGCGUGCGUAGGCUGUUUCGUAAGGCGUGUGUGAAAGGCGCGGGCUCAACCCGCGGACGGCACAUGAUACUGCGAGACUAGAGUAAUGGAGGGGGAACCGGAAUUCUCGGUGUAGCAGUGAAAUGCGUAGAUAUCGAGAGGAACACUCGUGGCGAAGGCGGGUUCCUGGACAUUAACUGACGCUGAGGCACGAAGGCCAGGGGAGCGAAAGGGAUUAGAUACCCCUGUAGUC